UACGGAGGGGGCUAGCGUUAUUCGGAAUUAUUGGGCGUAAAGGGCGCGUAGGCGGGCCGCCAAGUUCGAGGUGAAAUCCUCCGGCUCAACCGGAGAACUGCCUCGAAUACUGGAGGCCUCGAGGCGGUAGGGCGUGCGGAACUGUGGGUGGAGCGGUGAAAUGCGUUGAUAUCCACAGGAACUCCGGUGGCGAAGGCGGCACGCUGGACCCGAUCUGACGCUGAGGCGCGAAAGCCAGGGGAGCAAACGGG
rnacentral:rRNA from 1 species